rnacentral:rRNA from 1 species
CGGUGCUUACGGGGGGCAGCAGUGAGGAAUAUUGGUCAAUGGGCGGGAGCCUGAACCAGCCAAGUCGCGUGAAGGAAGAAGGUACUUAGUAUUGUAAACUUCUUUUGUCGGGGAACAAAGGCGGAGACGCGUCUUCGGAUGAGUGUACCCGAAGAAAAAGCAUCGGCUAACUCCGUGCCAGCAGCCGCGGUAAUACGGAGGAUGCGAGCGUUAUCCGGAUUUAUUGGGUUUA